GACGAACGCUGGCGGCGUGCUUAACACAUGCAAGUCGAACGGAAAGGCCCUGCUUUUGUGGGGUGCUCGAGUGGCGAACGGGUGAGUAACACGUGUGUAACCUGCCCUUGACUUUGGGAUAACUUUAGGAAACUGGGGCUAAUACCGGAAAGGAGCUCCUGCUGCAUUGUGGGGGUUGGAAAGUUUCGGCGGUUGGGGGUGGACUCGCGGCUUAUCAGCUUGUUGGUGGGGUAGUGGCUUACCAAGGCUUUGACGGGUAGCCGGCCUGCGAGGGGGACAGGCCACAUUGGGACGGAGAUACGGCCCAGACUCCUACGGGAGGCAGCAGUGGGGAAUAUUGCACAAGGGGCGGAAGCCUGAUGCAGCAACGCCGCGUGCGGGAUGACGGCCUUCGGGUUGUAAACCGCUUUCGCCUGUGACGAAGCGUGAGUGACGGUAAUGGGUAAAGAAGCACCGGCUAACUACGUG
rnacentral:rRNA from 1 species